rnacentral:lncRNA from 1 species
GUUUUUUAAGUGGUUCAGUGUUUUGUGCAUUGUUUUUUCUUUUGUUGUGUAAAAAUAUAUUCUGUAUAAUAUUAUAUAUUUCAGAGGCAAAAGUUGCCAAGGACAAACUUAAACCUGUCGCUGUGAAGAAAGAACCUGAAGUUACCAAAGAGAAAGCCAAACCAGAACCUGCAAAGAAAGGUAUCACAUAAGGAUGCAGUAUAUGCAGUAAAUGUUUGCAAAAUUUACUACCAGGCAAGACUAAUAAAGCAAUAAUCCCCAAGAAGAUGUGGUUUACAGUGAAUUUAUAACAGCUAAGGGGCGUUAACGCUUAGCUGUUAUAAAUUCACUGUAAUCCACGGCUUCACGGUGCUUAUUGCUUUUAUAAAACGGUUAUUCUGUAUACGUAGUAUGGUUUCACAAAACAUAGGCUGAAGUCAUCACGCAGAAAUCACAUAUUCUACAAACACAUUUUAAAAAUGAUGCUAAAGAAAAUAAUUUAUAGUAUCAAAAUAUUUACUCGUCGUUGACAUUUCAGAGGCUAAAGUUGUCAAGGAGGAAGCUAAACCAGCUCCUGUAAAGAAAGAGGCUGAAGUCAUCAAAGAUGUUAAACCAGCCCAUGAGAAGAGAGGUUUGAGUUACCAUUAUUAGCCAUUAUUGUUAAAUAUCAAUAAAAAAUCUAGAAAACCUUUUACAAUCUCUAAAUAUUUUCACAUCACUGCCAUUUCAGAGGUCAUCAAGGAGAAAGUUAAACCGGCUCCUGUAAAGAAAGAGCCUGAAUUUGCUAAAGAAAAGACACCUGAACCAAAACCCAAAAUAGAGCCUGAAGUUAUCAAAGAGAAACCAGCACCUCCAAAGAAAGGUCGAUACAGUAUAUGCUUUAUCAACAUUUACAGCAAUGAAUACUAG